rnacentral:tRNA from 1 species
GGUGGCUCAGUGGUAGAGUGCUUGCCUGGCAUGCAUGAGGCCUUGGGUUCAUUUCCUCAGCACCA